GGCUUUUGCGGGAGGUGGGGGAAGGGACAGAGCAGGCAGCUCUGUCCCUUCCCCCACCUCCCGUAAAAGCC
rnacentral:miRNA from 1 species